AUUCUUGUGAAAAUAACUGCCAGCUUUAUCGAAAAGAGAAAGCGAGUGAUGAUUUUUGUUCAGUGUGUGGAACUUCAAGGUGGAAGAACAUACCAGAUAAAACUACUUUGACUAUAAGAAGGAAAGAAGGAAGGCAAUCCCAAGGAAGGUGUUACGGUACUUUCCAAUUAAGCCAAGGCUUAAGAGGCUUUUCAUGCAUAAAGAUACAGCUACAGCUUUAAGAUGGCAUGACCAAGAACGCACAAAGGAUGGAGCAUUGCAUCAUUUAGCUGAUUCAGAGGCUUGGAAGGCCAUUGAUUCCAAGUAUAAACACAUCGCAUCAAACUCCCGGAACAUGAGGUUUGGAAUAGGAGCCGAUCAAGUGUUUUACCUAGAAGACGAACUGAACCCAGGUUGGUCAGUGGUGAUGCAGAAUAAACUACCUAGAGAUAGAUGUGACACUGGAACUGAUGAAUGCACACGAGACGUAGAAGCUGAGCCAUUCCAUGUUUCUCACCUCACGGAUAUGUUUAAAAAGAAAAGGAAAUAUCAACAUUGGGUAAGAUCCGAUAUUGAGGGAACAAUUGUCGGUGCUAAUGAUAAUGCUUUGAUCGAUGAAGAACAGUGAUGGUACAUCAUAUAAAGAUUGUUGGCUGAGCUUACACCCUUCAGAAAAUUCGAAGGAAUGAGGUCUUCCACUCAACAUAUAAACCCAUUUUUUUUCUUUAUUGCUUUUCAGUUUCUCGUCCUAUUUUCCGUUGAUGCUGCCAUUGUGGAUUGUGAUAACUGUUAGUACUUCACCCUUACUGUCCUGAAGUAAUCUCAAAGAGCGAGAGUAGCGUGGCAUCUUAAAAUAUUUUUGCCCCGCAAUGGUGAGUGCUUCCUACAGGUGCUUAAACUACUUUAAUUAACGCAGAGCAAGGCUUACUACGGUUUUACUGAAGGUCAAGCACCUGCUAGCACCAGAAGCAAGACUUUGCUUUCGUCCCUCCUCUUAUGCACCUGUGCUCAGCGAUCUUGAAAAACAACCUGUUUUUUUGGUUGAAGCGUCCGCCUAAGCACCUGCAUUGUACAAGGCCUAAGUAUCCCUAUAUGCAUUGAUUUUAACUUGAUUCUUUUUGAUUUGUUAUGAACUUUUUCUCGUGCGCUUCAGUAAAUCUUCUUUUUCAGGAAAUUUUGCAAGUGAAGAUUAGAAGGAUUGUUCUAAACUGAUGGAUGAAGCAAUGUGUUCUUUUAGCGGGCUUUUAUAUGUUUGCAUAGUUUUUGCACUUCAAACAUGAAGCUUGGAAAAAUUCAGAAAAUUGUUACUAAAGUUAAGCUUCAUGUAUGACAGAUUGUCAUUGGAAAUAGAUACACUUUUGUCGAAGAAGUAUUAUGUUAGAUUUACCAUCUUGUAAACUUAGUUUAUGUCUGUUUGAAAUUGGCGUUUUGAUUUA